rnacentral:rRNA from 1 species
UACGUAGGGGGCAAGCGUUGUCCGGAAUCAUUGGGCGUAAAGAGCGUGUAGGCGGCUCGGUAAGUCCGCUGUGAAAGUCCAGGGCUCAACCCUGGAAUGCCGGUGGAAACUGUCGAGCUAGAGUCCGGAAGAGGCGAGUGGAAUUCCUGGUGUAGCGGUGAAAUGCGUAGAGAUCCGGAGGAACACCGACGGCGAAGGCGAGC